GAAAUGUUUUCGGUGGAAAAGUUUUCAAUUACAGCAUUAUAAAAAUCGACAAGCUGUCUGCGGCAAUAUGGCUGGACAGGGUCCGAAACUCACACACACACACACACACACACACACACACACGCAAACAUACACACAUGCACUAUGUGCCAGAAAUUAUUAUUUGUAUGCACUGCGAACGAAAUUCAUGUUCGACACACGUCUCUAAGGAUUAACAGGAGUGACCACAAAAUCAUCAUCAGCACAAAAAGGCCAAAAGUGUUAUGGCCAAAGCAGAGACGAUGAUGGCCAGAAGAGGGACCAGUCGGGCGUCCGGGGUCGGGCGACGAGGUGGGUGCAACGAAGUUUGACGUGUGUCUGGACGGAAGCUGUUUCCAGUGAAGUUUCUCUAAACUACACAAAUUUUUGUAUAAAAAUGCCCGAUGACUCAAUUGACGAGCUGAGAGGGGUUGGGCUCUAGCCAGUGAGGACAUUGAUAAAAAAGCGAAUAUAUAUAUACAGAAAUAUGUAGAAAAAUGUUCCCAAGACAGAAGCUGGCCACUGGGUCCGGCUAACAGUUACUAGAUCUGUGGAAUAUGCGCCAAGCAGUAAAAAGUGUCCAUCAAGUAGCAAGAACUUUUUUAUACGUGGCCAGAAACGAAGUGUGUCCAAGCUGUCAAAAGCCACUAUAAACUUGUGACGUGUCAAGCGUCACAACAUGCCCCAAAUGCUCCAACUACCCCUAACCCAGCGGCGAACAGAGCUCGACUUAUGUAAUUUUUUAAUAACGAUAAACGGCAUGCCAUGCAUGACAGUUGAGCUGACUGACCUCAGUUAGGGUAUGAGCUAUUUGCCGUUCCCUGUACUCCAUUGUACAUAACUGUCAGCUUAAGUGAAAAAUGUCAUACGCGCGUCUGUUCAAAGGUGGCGUCCCGUCUGCCGCUUAAGAGCUCGCCGUGCUGAAGCAACAGCGCCCCCUGGCGACCGCGGCAGCGCAAAACUUUGCACAUCAAAAUCACACGGCAUGUCAACGUCACUUGCCAACUGACCAAAUGCCGAGAAAGAGAUGGAGAAGAAGGACGGCAGCGUAAUGGAAUGCUCAUGAAGAGGGAUGAGGGGGGAAACACUUCGCGUUCCAUUUCGGUGGUUUUUCUUUCUGUCUUUCGGUGGCUGUGUGUGUCACAAAUCCUUCCCAGCCAACGAUCGACCAUAAAGUAAUUAUGAUGUUACUAGUAUUUUUAUAAAAACUCAGUCGCAGGCAAGCAAACAGAUAGCAAAUAAAUAGCAAAAUAAAUUCUUGAGUUGAAAGGUUGCAAAUUAAA